AAAGAUAUAAAAGAAAAACUCGGAAAAAUGUCUUGAUAAAGUAAAAAUAUUAAUUAGAUUUUUUUUACAUAAAUUUCUUAUCUAGUAAUAUACCAUUUACUGUAACACAUAAGAAAAGAAACUAGAGAUGUUCAGUCAAAAAAAAGAAACUAGAGAUGUUAAAAAAGUAACAAAAUCCUCCUAUCUUUGAUAUAUAUCGGAAAAAAGAAGUUUUUAUCAAUAAAAAGGAAGAGAGGGACGCUGGUGUCGAACCCGACAACUGUUGGAAGAAAGACAAGCCUCCCAAGUCACUAGACUAAGGCGAAGCAUCUGAUAAAUGGUGCCCCUAAAUAUAUUAUAUUGUUUGGCGCCCAAAGCCCUUGCUUUAUGGGAUUUAGCCCAGGGCCGG
rnacentral:lncRNA from 1 species